CCUGGAGAGCAGCCAGGAAAACAAACCCAGAGAGCCUUUGGUGUGGAAACGGUUACAUGGUCUAGUCCCUUACUACCCCGUUGCCCUUGCUAAUCCAGGGGCCAGCGGCAUCAACAUCAUCAGGGAGCUUAUCAGAAAUGCAAUUCUCCACGUGCACCCAGACCUGCUAAAUUUUAGGCACACUAAAGUUUAACAACCACUGUCUAGCCCAUCUCUAGGCAGAGCCACACCCAAAGCUCAUAAUGACACUUAUGAUCGUUGCACACCCAUUAGCUAGGGAAUCCAGAGCCCUUAAUUCUCAUGCCAGCCCUGAGAGGCAGGUAAGAGCGGUGAUUACUACCAUAGGCACAGUGUGGCCACAUAGCGUCCUCAUGCUCCCACACCCUGUGGCUGAGCCAGAACCGGAAAACUGGCCUCCUAACACCCACCCACUGCUCCCUUGACCAGUGGCUGCAGAAUCGUACUGCCUUUUCUGUCACACCCUGGCAUGCCCCCCGUACCUGUUCUAUUAUGAGGCAUCUAGAAGUGAGGCCCUGGGCACUCGUGGAGCAAGCCCGCCCAAACCUAUUUUCAGGACACCCCUGUUCCUUGACGCGGUUGAGGACUGCGCUAAGCCCAGACGCAUCACCCUGCACGGUGCCACGUCACUGUCCCUACAGGAGAGCCGGCUUCCUUUCCCGGGCCCAGGGAACGCUGUAGUGUGAAGAAACAAGCACACCGCCUCCACGCAGCUCCGGCAGAUGUUCUUGGGAACACUGGGAGCCCCGGAUGAGAAAGUCAGGGAGAUGGGGGCCCUCUGCCAACCAAGUGCCUAAAGCACGAGGUGAAGCUCAUCAUUCUUAUUCAGCAUCUCAGAGGUGCCAGUCGUGGUGGCUGCCACACCCAGCAUCCCUUUCCGGCCAGAACCACCCAGCCCAAAGCCUCUGCAGGGACACAGGGCCGGGUGCAGUGUGCUCUCUGUGGACAAGCAGUUCCUAACCGGACCAGAGGUGGGUGUCUGACCAAAGGAGGCCUAUCGGUGGGCUUGCUGGUGACCCCCAAGGUGACCUGGCCAACAGCGACAAGGGACUCUGGCUAAGCCGAUCAAACCAGCCCCCUCCAGAUGGUGCAGAUAGGAUUGGUCAGUUGGCAACUAGAGGAACACGAGGCAGAUGUGCAGAGAAGCAGAGAUGCCUCGAGACAGAGCACACUGGCCAGAGUCGGGGCUGGGGUGCUGGAUCCUGGCACAGACCCCGCCUUCCAGCCCACGGGUACCCUCAGAGCACAUCCCCCUUUCCUAGCGAAGCCUGAAAGCGCCUCUGGGUCACCUGAAGAUUCACAGCCUGUGGCUGUCGGCUGCUGCCUCACGUCCCCUACCCCCAAGGCAAGCAGGCAAGCUGUUUCAACAAUAGGGCAGGGAGGAAAACACCCCCCAAAUUCCAUGCUUGUUGCUGCUUAUUUUUUGUCUUCCAGCCCCAACUAGAUGCAAAGUACCUAAGGGGAAGACAGUGUAUUCUGCAUUUGACAAUAAGUUGUUUGUUUUUAAAAUCUCUGCCUCCACUCCAGCAGAGUGCCGGACAUAAAGUAGUAAUUCCAUAGGUGGCAUCCCCCUGCCCCAGGGAGCAUGAGGAGGAUGGGCACCUGUGGCUCAAGAGCAGGGACGUGUGUCCUGCCAUGUGCAUGCGUCACGGACAUUGGCAAGAAAAGCUCCUCAGCUAAGUGACUGCCACCUAGGACCGUGGACAGUGUUGCCCUCACUAACUACAUCGAUGGCCUCUGGCUCUUCCUGCUCUGAACAGCCUCUGCUGCUCCAGCAGCAACCCUCAGAGACUGUCAGGCCACACCCGAGCCCUGGAGCACAGUGACAGGGCUGCUGUCAGAGACCAGGAGGAGGGGCAAAGCUGGCCUCUGAGUACUGGGCUGGGAUAGGACUGAGGGACAGGACAGGGGGGAUGGCUCACCAUGAGAGGGGAGGGGGCGAGCUUACUGCCCCCUCGGUCUAGCAGGGAGGGGCCAUGAAGACUGUGGAAAGAAGGGAACGGGGCACAUUCAGGGGAAAGAACACUCCUUCCCAUAACCACCUGCCUCCAAAGAGAGCGCUGGGAAGCGCGGAGGAAGGGAGGGACAGGGGCGUGGUCAGUCAGAAUACACUGGUGUGGUCAGAGUUUGGUUCCGAUCCUGCCUUUCCCACCUGUGUGUUCUCAGGAAAGCUUCUUAAUCUCUCUAUGCUGUUUCUUCACCUGCAAAACGGGAAUGGCAAUCCCUCGGGUCAGAGAGUUUCUGUGAUGAUUGUGAGAGAAGGUGGAAAGCCAGUAACACAGGGCCUGACCCAUAGUUUUAUGAAAUGUUAGCUGAAGAAGCGAUCAGUUCCCUAGGGAAUGAGGACAGCAUGGAGCCCAGGGGCACAGUGUGGGGAACAGAAGGAGCUCUGGGCUCAUGUUGGGAGAGGAAGGAGAGUGGGGCAGGAGGUGGGGCAAGGGGCCAGCACUAAGCCACAGUGUUCCAACAAAAAGAGAAAAUGCCACCCACCACGGAGCCCGGAUGGCUCCCGAGUCUGCCUACCACCUAAAUUCUGGCAAAGUCAGGAGGUGUGCGUACUGGCAGGCCAGCACCUCACGGGUUAACAUCAGGUGCCAGCCUACCUGCCUGCCAAGGGCCACAUGUUUCAAGUGGAAAUAAGGCGCUUCUGGAUGCCAAAUGUUAUCACUGUGAUCAACCACAGCCCAAAAGACCCGCGGCGUGACUUGAGCCUUUUCAUUAGCAAUGAGAUGCCACAACAGGAACAACUUAAUACACCUGAAACCCAAGGCAGACACCCAAUCCCUGGAGCCAGGGUGGCUCCAGUUACCAAGCCCAAGGCUCAGGAAGGCCCCCAGCCCCUCCUCGACAGGAAACCAGCAUGUGCUGGACAUGUGGAGCUCAUGGGGUUGUGGCAGGAGGUCACCUCCAAAGAGGUCACCCUGAACAACCCCAAAACAAGCUUUAGGGAAAGGCAGACCCUGCGGGGGGGAAGGGGGUGAUGGCUGCCUGACUUUGCCAGUCCAGACAAGGCAUCAGAAUAAUCCCCAUCUCAAAAUCCCCUUGUCUCAGCAACAGAGAAGACCCGUAACAGCAAGAGACCAAUGACGCCAUCUUCCCCCUGAGUGACAAGUAAGGGGACAAAUGGGGAGAAUGAUACAGAAGGAGACAAAUCUCAAGAGAAGAGUCAAGACAAAGGCUCUUGGCACACAAAUGUCACACCAGGGACACAGCCUCGCUGUCUGCUGGACCACACGCCACCACCUGACUUCCUCCUCUUACCCAAUUGCAGCCUGAUGGUCCCUCAUGCUGGCCUCAUCCUGGGGAGAAGGCGCACCAGGCUCUCUGGGCAAAUGCAUUACUCAGCAUUUGCACUGUCUUGCUCUGGGAGGGAUGGGAAGCAGAAAUAAAAGAGGCAGCCCUGGUCUUUGGCAGACAGAACCCUGA